UACGUAGGGUCCGAGCGUUGUCCGGAAUUACUGGGCGUAAAGAGCUCGUAGGUGGUUUGUCGCGUUGUCCGUGAAAACUCACAGCUCAACUGUGGGCGUGCGGGCGAUACGGGCAGACUGGAGUACUGCAGGGGAGACUGGAAUUCCUGGUGUAGCGGUGGAAUGCGCAGAUAUCAGGAGGAACACCAAUGGCGAAGGCAGCUCGCUGGGACGGUACUGACGCUGAGGCGCGAAAGCGUGGGGAGCAAACAGG
rnacentral:rRNA from 1 species